CUGCACCUGGCGAGACGGGAAGGGAAACUUAUCUCGUCGCUUGAUGGAUUAACACCCGAUUGUUUGGGGGAACUUGCUCUGAGCCAGUUACCAACACUGCUUCCACCAACUGUCUACAGGGUUGGCCGAAAAGUGUUCCGGUACACUAUCGAGGAGUCUAAGUUGGCCUUCAUUGAUCAUAAGCCUGUUGGAACAAACUUGGUGGAGUACCUCCAUGAGGCGAAGGUGUCAAGACCUUACCCAUAUGUCCUGUCCCUGGGAAACGAUAUUUGGCACACCUCUCAGGCGUUCGUUAUUCUUGAUGGGGAGGCGUUGGAACAAAACACAUUGCUUCAGGCAGUAGAUGUCUGUAU